CGUGCCACGAAGGGUGUGACACAUUCCAGCCUGGGUGGCACCCCUGUCCCUGUGUGGGGACACGACCCCCAGCAUUCAUGGGGACUGGGGACCUCACGCUCAUCCUUCCUGCCUCUAUUUCUGGGGUCAUCUUUCUCGCCUCCUGAGCGUGGCUCAUCCCCUGGCCUCUGUGCUGCUGUGGGGUCUCCCAUCCCUGCCUCUCCGACCCCCCUCUGUCUCCUUCCCAGCUCCUCCUCCUCUGCCCACCCUGUCCCUGGGGUACCUCUGGCCUCCUUUCGCCAUCUCCCUGGACACGCCAAGGACCUGCCCCUCCGCCCCCAGCGCCGACUGCGGCCUGGAGCCUUGGAUCCAGCACCUGCCUCUGGGAUGUUCCCCGGAGGCCCAGCUGAGACCCGGACCUGCCCCCCCGUCCUCCUCACUCUUCACGCAGCCGGGGGUCCAAAGGCUGCAGGACCCAAGCUCUGGAACCUUCCCACGAGCCUGCUGAGCGGGGCCCUUUGCCCCGGGGGCCCUGGCUCUGAGUUCGGGCUCCACCUCCCAGCCCCCUUCCACCACCCACGUGGCUGGCUGAGCGCCCAUCCACCUGCCCUGUGCCGCGGGCGGGGGGCUUUCAGGAGGCCCGGCUGUGCCCCAACAAUGCUGCUUUGUGCCAAGAGGGACCCAGAGCCUUGUAAAGGAGGAGCCCCUGCCACCAUCUCCCCAGUUUUGGAGGCACUUCGGGGGAGCAGGAGUUCCCAGGAUUCUUGAGGGCUGUCUGCAGCCCCUG
rnacentral:lncRNA from 1 species